rnacentral:lncRNA from 1 species
GAGAUGCUGGGGCAGGGACCACCCACAGGGGAAAUGUGGACCCCGGCACACAUCUGCACUGUUUGUCUCUUGACUGUUUCCUGUCCUCUUUGCUGCUGAGUCACCCAUCGCCAAAUCCCAGCCCACUGCUGAAAACUGGCUUGAAAGGCAGGGGUUUAAUUAUUCCACAAGAUAGUCUCCCCGAACCAAAUCUCGUUAAUAAAAGACGAGAAAUAAAUUUUAAUAAAGGACUUGCCGAGAUGCCUCUGCAGCAGCACCUACUGUCAAAAACUUUUCUCCCCCUUGAACAAAAAGGAUCGUUCUCAGCAGGGCAAAAUAGAGUCAUAGCGUUUGGACAGAGACCUCCAGUGAAGGAUUUUUUCCUUCUGUUCUUAGAGAUAGUUAUGCUUGUUUUUCCUCCCACUUAAAGAUGGAGGUUAACCCAGCAGGCUGACAGUGUGUGUCUGAGGCAAUUCUUCUCACCAUGACCGUUGGUUUGUCAGAUUUAUUUGCAGCAGUAAUUCAUACCAGACAACUUAACACCAUUGCUGUUUCCUCCCCAGCAGUUCAGGGACAUUGAGAUGAAUCUUCAAAGGGCCAACAUAGCUCCAGAUGCUGGGCACUGUCCCAGACAUGGGCCAUUUGUCCCAUGUGGGCGCCUACAGAAGCUGACAUUGCCCAAGCUCAAGCCACACCCAUCUGUCAGGGAACAGGUUGGCUGGUGCUUCUUGAAUUAGAGUUUGUAGAGUUUGAUUUGAGAGAAGUCUACAGUAUUUGGAGGAAAUGAUUUUUUUAAGAAGAGUCACAAAUCAUCUGUGCUGACUAGGCACUGGAUACCUGCCCAACAGGAGUGAUGCUGAUGGUUACAUCUCCCAAGUCCCAUGGCCAGGUUUGGUCUCCAUCGGCCAGGCCAGUCACUUAACUGAAGCUUACAACAGAUCCUUCAUAGGAUAAAAUAAGAUGAUAUCUUAGUCCAAAUAAACAACACAAAAUUUAUUUGGACAAGAAGUCUGGGAAGGUGGCUGGUGCAUCAUUUGAGGGGUCUAAUGCUACCACGGCUGAGGUGUUCACAAUUUCCCUUGGACUUUUCUUCAUGAGUGCAAAAUGGCUGCCAAAGCUCCAGACACCAUGGAGGAGUUAAAGAUAAGAGGGAAAUGGAAAGGAAUCCAUCUAAA